UCCAGCAUGAAUUGACAAGGACGUAUCAUAAAUUAAAUACCAAUCCAAUCCAAAACGAUUAAGAAAACAACAAAUAAUCCAUGGAAAUAAAAUUCUCAUAAUUCCAUAAUCAAAUUCAAGUACAAACCCAGAUAAAUAAAAAAGAUAAAUCAAUUUACACAUAAUCAAAAUCAAAAGGAGGAAGUGAAAAUUGAAUAAAUUGAAUAUGCUGAUUCAAAACCCAAAAGAAACCAAGACAACUAAAACAAUGGUGACUCUGUACCCAACAAUCUCAUUUCCUUGCUAAACUUGGUCCUUGGUUACAUCUCCCUCAGUCCUUGGGAUCCUCUGCCUCCCUGAUUCCCAGCCUAAAAUAGAUCGAUUCUCCAUUAAUUGUGGUGGGUCAUUUGCAAAGAGCAGUUUGAGGAGGAGACGUAUAGGGAGUGGGCGAGGGUUGGUGUGUUGAAUGCAGAGCCAAACAUGGCUGCAAUUGUUUCGAAAAAUGGUGUUAACUUCCAUGGUUUUUGAGGGAUGUGACAGGGCUAAAGUUUUGUUGUUGUUGAUGGCUGAUUCAGAGGAGGUAGAAUCUUGGUCUUCAUCUUGAUUGUAGGAUUCUUGGUUGGUUGCAGGUUAGGAAGAUUAUUGCAAAUGGAGGUACUAACGCAUUAAACUAUAAAAAAGAGAAUCAAAAUUAAUCCAUUGGAGAUCUAGUGAAAAUAAUACAUUAACGUAUGCAAAAUCCAAAAAAAAGGGGAAAGAAAAUAAAACCUUACAGGGAUGAUUUUUGACGGGCAAGAAGGGAUGAACCAUCUUUCAAUGGGCAGAACCAUCUUUGCUCUCCAGAUUUAAAGAGAAAAGAGAGGUACAGUUAGUGGGUUGGAGAUGGCAUUAUCAGAAAGAAGAGAGGGACGAUGGGUGGACAGUUAAUGGUGUUGUCAUAGAGAAAGGAGAGAG
rnacentral:misc_RNA from 1 species